UACGUAGGGGGCAAGCGUUGUCCGGAUUUAUUGGGCGUAAAGAGCUCGUAGGCGGUUUGUCGCGUCUGCUGUGAAAACCCGAGGCUCAACCUCGGGCCUGCAGUGGGUACGGGCAGACUAGAGUGCGGUAGGGGAGAUUGGAAUUCCUGGUGUAGCGGUGAAAUGCGCAGAUAUCAGGAGGAACACCGGUGGCGAAGGCGGGUCUCUGGGCCGAUACUGACGCUGUGGCGCGAAAGCUAGGGGAGCGAACAGG
rnacentral:rRNA from 1 species